rnacentral:tRNA from 1 species
GGGUGUGUAGCUCAGUUGGUUAGAGCGCAGUCCUGAUAAGACUGAGGUCCUUGGUUCGAUUCCAAGCAUACCCA